CGUCUAUAUACGUAUAGCAUAUCAAUAAGCGGAGGAAAAGAAACUAACAAGGAUUCCCUUAGUAACGGCGAGUGAAGCGGGAAGAGCUCAAAUUUGAAAUCUUCAAGGGUUUCCCUUGACGAAUUGUAGUUUAAAGAAGUGUUUUCUGUUAGAGAGGUGGUAAAAGUUCUUUGGAAUAGGACAUCAUAGAGGGUGAGAAUCCCGUAUUUGGUCCAUUUCUUCUCAGCUGUGUGAUACACUUUCAAAGAGUCGGAUUGUUUGGGAAUGCAGUCCAAAAUGGGUGGUAAAUUUCAUCUAAAGCUAAAUAUUGGCGAGAGACCGAUAGCGAACAAGUACCGUGAGGGAAAGAUGAAAAGAACUUUGAAAAGAGAGUUAAACAGUACGUGAAAUUGUCAAAAGGGAAGCGUUUGACACCAGUGUUGUUUUCUCGAAAAUCAAUUAAAAAUGGCCGGAUUUUGUGUUGUAUUGACUUUAUCAGCUUUCUGCACUUUUUUCCUUAUCUUUUUUAAUGCACUUUUCGUUUAACAAGUCAACAUCAAUUUCUUUUGUUGUAAAAGAGUCAUUGGAAGGUGGCUUUCAUUUCGGAUGAAAGUGUUUAUAGCCUUGUGACUUCUGCAAUCGGAGAGAUUGAGGUCUGCAGCGUAGAUCCUUCGGGGUUAGAUACAGUUUGUGCUAAGUUAUAGUUUUAUCAUAGACAACUUGUUGACUAUGUUAAGUCUUGUAGCUUACUCGCUAUGCGCUAUUUUACCUACGCUUAGGAUGUUGACACACGCGCGUGCUCG
rnacentral:rRNA from 1 species